CAAUCUAUAUAUACACUACUGGUCGAUGACAUGUGAGAGAGGAACAAACUGAUAAUGAAGAAAACAACACAAGCCUUUCUUCUUCUAAGUUUGGUUCUUAUACUAGGUCUGUCCUUUCAGGUUCGUGUCACCGAGGCUAGAUUCCGCCACCUAGGUGAGGAUCGGAUACUAGCAGAACCAUCCCCACCAUGUGGAGCUUCUCCUAGGAGAAGUCAAGUUACGGGACUAAUGAACAAACACUGCAAAAGAGUUCGAAGACCUCCUCGUGGUCGUGGACAUUAGUAGUGCUCUCCGGCCAAGAGGUAGCAACGUUGAUGAGUAUUAAAUUUAUAAGCAACCAGAAAUGUCCAGAAUAAAAUUCGUCCUCAAUGUUUAAGUUUAGUAUUAACUAUAAUCAUACCAAAUUAUUGUUUGCACGCUAUGCCAAAAGAUUAUAGCUUAAUCGAGACCCUUUAAUUUCUUUAAUUUAGUAUUAUCAUAUCAUCUUCUUCGCU